UUGGAAGGUGGCUAUGAGCAGAGAGGGUCACAGUUGAUAUGAAGACAGUUGGAGAGAAGAUAGGUUAAGGGAUAGACGCUGGGAUCAUGAACAGAAUAGGGGCGUUGGUCAAGGAUGCUGGUUUGGGAAAGAGAAAAGCCCUGUAUCUGCCAGACUUGGGGCAAGAGGAAGCUGAAGGGGCACCCCAAGGAGCCGCAGAGAAUACCACGAUGCCGCAGAGUCACUGAAGCCCUGUCUGGGAAGGGAAGGGUUCGAGUAGAGAGGAGUCAUCGUGGCUUUGUGCACCUGCUGAAUGCCAGGAUCCCAGAACGGAAAUGAUGUCAACAGGCUUGGGAGCAGGCAUCUUGAUGCACCUUGACCCACCUCGCCACCUCGCCAGCCCAGUUAUUUUCUGGAACCAGCAAACAUUAGAUUUGAAUAUAUCACUAACCUAUCAAAGAAACGUGCUUCUGAACACAGUUUGGAUAAGUGCAGUUUCUUGAUUGUCCCAGGCUUCCUGGGGAUGAAAAGAUGACGUGCCAGGUGGAUCUCAAUAGUGAUGAGACUGAAGGAACGACCAUCAAGAUGUAAGGACAAGGCACACAGCUCUUUGGGUUGGCCCUCUCAAGCUCAGGACCAAUUCCUGACGUGAUAAGGUUUGUUCCUGCAUGAUCUGUAGUCUGCCUGGUCUAUUGAGUAGAGCCUCCUGCCAUGAAAUAAAAGCAGAGAGAGGCCACGGGACCCCAGCAGCAGCUUGACUAAAGCAAAAUGAGGAAACCUUGGGGCUGACGACUCCUUUCCUUUCAUUAUUUCUAGAUAAUAUCAGGUUUUUGGCCUCGAGGGAGCACACACAGAAUGAGGCCUGGUGACCUCUGAGCAGGCAAGUCAGGGAUAGCAGAUGAAUCCUGGAGCUGGUUUGCUGAUGGCACAAAUCAGCCACCGAUGCUGUUGAUCUUGUCUGCUGGUGAGAGAGGGUAGAGGUGAGCAGGAGCUGAUGGUGUCCCAGAGGCGCCAUAUUGGGAGCAGUGAAGGGGCCAGAGCUGGACCUGUGGACAUCUGGACCUGUGGUAAUCAGGGCAGUGACGAGUCUCAGGUGAGCAGCAAAGAUUAAUGCCUGGAAUCCACUGCCAUGGCAUAUCCCUGCACGUCUACCUGAACAAGAGUGCCCGUAUUGACGUCUUUAGGCUCAGCAUUCACACUUCAUCUGUGUGAGCCAGCUAGAGAGCUGGAUGAAGCCAGGGUGCCUGGGUUCCCGCUGCAGGGUCCACAAGUGGGCUUCAAAUCCGGCGUUCCUGGAGAGACAUUUCUGUGGCCUUGCCACUUACCAGCUGUGCCAUCUUGGAAGCACUGUCUAAAUCUCUGUACCCUAGUCCUCUUUUCCGUCAUGUGGUGAUAAUGGUCCCAACUGGAUACCUGGGAGGUUUAAAUGAGGUCAUGAGCAGGAGCGGUUCAUUUGAACCAGGUUUCUUUUAGUUAUGGAGGUUCUUUCCAAGUUGGACUACUUGGGGAAAAAAAAUACCUGACCUUGAUAGCUGAGCAUUUGAUAAUUACAGGGACUCAUGAAGGGACAUGAGGGGCUGAUGAGCCCCAUUCCCAGAAAUCCCUGGGGAUCUUGGUGUCUUGUGCCUGCAUUUCUAGAGUCUACACUGUUUGCUCCUGGCAACAGGGUCUACAACUUAGCUGAGACGUUCAGAGAGGUCCCGGCUCCUGCUGGACGCCUCAGGUGGGGUUCAAGGGCCUGUAUUUAGGGCAGACCUCCUUAGUGUCAGCACUGUUGGCAUUGGAACUGAAUCCUUUGUGUGGGGUGGGGUGGGGUGGGGUGGGGUGGGGAGGCAGGCUGUCCUGUGCAUUGUAGGAUGAUUGGCGGCAUCCAGCCUCCACCCGUUAGAUGCGGAUUACCUUCCAUCCAUCUUGUCCCAGUUUUAACAAUGGAAACCAUCUUUAGACCUUGCUGAAUGUCCCCUGCGAAGGGAGGAGAGUCACCCUGGUGGAGAAUCACCGCAUUUCUACGUUCCCUCUGGGGUGAACCUCUGUAGUUGGUUAUAGCUGCUGCGUUGUUGUUUGUUGAGAUUUCUUAAUCUUGCUGAUUCCAAACUAUGUCUGUGCACUGACUGAAGGCGCCCAUUCAGUCCUGGGAAAGGGUAUUUUCCUAGUUGAAGGGCUGUAGACUCUCCGAAUCCCAGCCCCAUUUGGAACAAAGGACUGGGUCCUGAUCGGGGCUGCUCAGUUCUUGUAUGUAUGUAGGUCCUGUUAUUCAAACCUAAAGGCUUGGAAGGCUAUGAAGUGCUACACAACUGUUUUGGGUCCUUCCCUUUUGAGUAACAUAUGAGUCAUGAUCAAACAGCGAAUGCUGUAUGGGGAGCAGCAGCUGGAUCCUCUCGUACAGUGAAUGUUGUUUUGUUUGACUACAAACCUGAGAGCGCCUGGUUCCUCCCUCAAGUAGGCACCAGAACAAACAGUAUGCUCUUCUGACGGGUUAGAUGGGAGUCAUAGUGGAGGCAUCUGGAAUCUCUGUUAUUUAGGAAGUCUUUCUAAGAGCUCUGAGGCCCACAUCCCGCUCUGUUGGCUGUGAUGAGGGCCUCUGAUGUUUUUGAUGGUUGACCUUUGGAGGCUUGGCCCUACUCAUUGGAUGCUCUAGAUUCUGGCUCUAAGAGUCAGGGUCAGAUGCUGAGGACCCGAAGGAGCUCAGGGUCAGGCUGAGCCCUGUUUUGGUAUCAUUUCUGUCAUUUCAGGAAUGGGGUGCUCCUCUUGGACACGUUUAUGCAGUGGUUCUUUUGCACUUUCCAGAAUAAGGAAAGGCUUUCAGGCAAGCACAGAUCCAAGAUCCGGAGAGGCAUUAGAUGGGGACAAAGUAUAGACAGUGCUCUCUCAAGCAGGGCAGAGAUUCCCAGUGUGGGGUGAUGGGGCCAAAGCAGCUUGACUCAUUGUUGCUCGGAAGAAACAGAUUUUUGAAGGAUGUUUCUAGACUGGUCAAAGAGUUUUUUUUGUUUUUUUUUUUUUGUUUUUUUUUUUUUUUGGUCACAAGCCUCAGACUAUGGCAUUUAUACACCUUUUUGGA